UGAGGAAUUUUGCGCAAUGGGGGAAACCCUGACGCAGCAACGCCGCGUGAGUGAGGAAGGCCUUCGGGUCGUAAAGCUCUGUCAGAUGGGAAGAAAUGGGUGGGGGCUAAUAUCGUCCAUCCUUGACGGUACCAUCAGAGGAAGCACCGGCUAACUCCGCGCCAGCAGCCGCGGUAAUACGGGGGGUGCAAGCGUUGUUCGGAAUCAUUGGGCGUAAAGCGCGCGCAGGCGGCUUGGUAAGUCAGAUGUGAAAUCCCUGGGCUUAACCCAGGAAGUGCAUUUGAUACUGCCUCGCUAGAGUACGGGAGAGGAAAGUGGAAUUCCUGGUGUAGAGGUGAAAUUCGUAGAUAUCAGGAGGAACACCGGUGGCGAAGGCGACUUUCUGGCCCGAUGCUGACGCUCAGGCGCGAAAGCGUGGGGAGCAAACAG
rnacentral:rRNA from 1 species